UAGACGUAGUAAUGACUGUGAUGUGAGAUAAUUUCAUGUUCUGGACACCACAUUGAUAAGACUUCUUGAAUGUCUUCUCAAAUUAUGGAUCAUCUGAUGUACCUCAAAAAGGAGAUUAAUCCUUUUUGUAAUUAAAGAAAUUUUCUUCUCCAGUAUGCUUUACUAUGUAUUUUGCCUUACCUCUGGAUUUAAUAUGUGCUUGGGUUAGCAGGGACCUUAAAGAUUAACCAGUCCAACUCCUCUGUUAUGGUCAGGGACAUCUAGAGACUAGAUCAGGUUGCCCUAGGCCCCAUCCAAUAUGACCUUAAACACCUCCAGGGAGGGGACAUCCACAGCUUCUCUGGACAACAUGUUCCGGUGCCUCACCACUAUCUGAGUAAAGAAUUUCUUCCUUAUAUCUAAUUUAAAUCUACCCACUUUCAGUUUAAAGCUAUUAUCCCUUCUCCUAUCACUGCAUGCCCCUGUAGAAAGUCUCUCACCAUCUUUCUUAAAAGUAUUGAAAGGCUGCCAUGAAGUCUCACAAGAGCCUUCUCUUCUAAUCUAGGCUAAACAACCCCAUCUCUCUCAGCCUUUUUUUAUAGGUGAGGUGCUCCAGCCUUCUAUCAGUUUUAUAGCUUUCCUCUGCACCUGCUUUAACAGGUCCUCCUAACCACCUCUAAAUUUAAGUCAUAUUUGUUUAACUGUGUUUUAACUUAAACAUAAAUUCACAGAAGCAUGUAUCUUAACAAACGCAACAGGACUCUAUAAAUGAAAAGAUUCACAGAAGACUCUUUUCUUCAUGGAAAAGAUCAAUAGACUUAGUUGAAGAGAAUUAAAAAGUACUUGUUUAGACAAAGAAGUAUGCCUACCUAUCCUGACCAACAUGGAUGAAUGUGAAAAUAGAAAGUGACCUCAUCAUCAGGGUCCCUGAAUGCUGUUUAAUGCUAAAACAACAACUUUACUACCCAACAGUAAAACCCAAAGGAAGAUAUAUGGAGAAGCAAGUGCCAAGGAUACCUGAAACUUCAAGGUGACAGUGCACAAUUCAUUAUCUCUAGAGUCCUCUGUUCUUUCUGUUCGAGCUGUCCCCAGCUGAUCCUGGGACUGGAAAUACAUAAAAUAACUAAUAUGGCAAGAGAAAGGAAAAAAGAAAAUUCCUGCAAAUAAAAGUCUUAGGUACGUAAAUGUUAACAAUGCUGAAUUUCAAUAUAGUGUCCAUAAAGAUUUAUGGCUUGUCAAAAAAAAUCAAUGUCAAAUGACACCCAAAGUAAAAGAAAAUCUAUGUGAGCUUAUACAAGAAAAUUGUAGGAGAUAGAAAACUGAUGAAGUGAUAUUUAGACACAGGUUAAAAGAAAAGUUGUCCAGAUCAAAAAAAUCCCAUUAUCCUUUGAGGAUGAUAUACAAAAUCUACUUGUUAUGCAUGGUGUUGACAUUCUAUCUUUUGAUGCACAGCUUAGGGUAUGUCUGCAUAGGGUAUGUCUAGUUACUUGCAAUGUCAUGGCAUUUAGAAUCUUUGUACAUGUUUUAUUUCAUUUAAAUGUAACAAUGUAAAAUUCAUUCAAGUUAAAAUAUUCUAAAAUGACUCUCUCUAUAAAAAUCUGUAUUGAAAAAAAAUAAAUAAAUCCUGUCAGUA